rnacentral:rRNA from 1 species
CAGCAGCCACGGGAAUACGUAGGGUGCAAGCGUUAAUCGGAAUUACUGGGCGUAAAGCGUGCGCAGGCGGUUAUAUAAGACAGAUGUGAAAUCCCCGGGCUCAACCUGGGAACUGCAUUUGUGACUGUAUAGCCAGAGUACGGCAGAGGGGGAUGGAAUUCCGCGUGUAGCAGUGAAAUGCGUAGAUAUGCGGAGGAACACCGAUGGCGAAGGCAAUCCCCUGGGCCUGUACUGACGCUCAUGCACGAAAGCGUGGGGAGCAAACAGGAUUAGAUACCCCCGUAGUCCCUGUCUCUUAUAC